rnacentral:tmRNA from 1 species
GGGGACGCGUGGCUUCGACAGGAGAAGUGAGCUACGGAAUUGCAAGCCGAGUUGCCAUCAACUCGUAAAUAAGAUGGCAAAAAAUAACCAACGAAGAACCAGUAAUGGUUGCUGCCUAAAUAACAGGUAGCACAUCCAACCCAACCUCACCCCGACGGGUUGGGAUUGGGUGUCGAAAAGCCGGGGUGCCAUCGUCUAGACCGCCGAUAAGGACGGUGAAAGAUCAAUCGGCUGGUCCGGCAGCACUUAGUCGUGAGAGGGCUACCGGAUAAGAUUCAAAGGAACGACUAAGCUUGUAGUACAUUCCGGGCAGCUUCUUUUGGACGGGGAGUUCAACCCUCCCCCGUCUCCACCA